rnacentral:lncRNA from 10 species
CAGCAAUUUCUCUGAACUAAAUGUUAAUUAAUAAGGCCUGUAAUACUAUGAGAAGGAAAUGGUGGCAAUUGGCAAAUGGAACUCUGUUGCUUGGUAACAAAACCUGAGAAAUAAUCAAAACCCUCUGCACUCACUCAGAAGUGUCCAUAAGUCCUGUUCAAGUAAUCUUAAAAGAGACUGUUCCAAUAUUCGAUCUGCCUCGUUCAACAAGGUAAAUUUAGCCUUUUCCCCUAGAAUUGACAGUCUGUUUAUCUGAACAACAAAACCCAUAGUAUGUGUAGUCCUUAAAGCCUCUUUGAGGAAGAAGCCCUGAUCUGAAUGUCCACUUUUAGGUAACUUUAUGCCAUUACCAUUGGAGAAUUGAGGCUUCUCUUUUUUUUUUUUUCUUUGAGACACAGUCUCGCUCUCUCGCCCAGGCUGGAGUGCAAUGGCGCGAUCUCGGCUCACUGCAACUUCCGCCUCCCGGGUUCACGCCAUUUUUCCGCCUCAGCCUCCAUAGUAGCUGAGACUACAGGCGCCCGCCACCAUGCCCGGCUAAAUUUUUUUGUAUUUUAGUAGAGAUGGGGUUUCACCGUGUUAGCCAGAAUGGUCUGGAUCUCCUGACCUCGUGAUCCGCCCGCCUCAGCCUCCCAAAGUGCUGGGAUUACAGGCAUGAGCCACAGCGCCCAGCCGAGGUUUCUCUUUUAAACCCAUGUUCCUUAAACAUUUUUAUUCCUGUAGGGUACUUACCCCUGUCUUAUGUCCUCUAAAACGUAGCAUAUGUGGUUUCUGCUCAGAGUAAAUUCUCAACACUGGUGAUAUCAAAGGAUACAAAUUGGGUAUCUCCAGGUGCCUGGGAUUUUUGAGUUUGACUUGAUGAACACCGAUCAGAAUGUUAAUGAUCUGUCCAAUGCCUAUUUCUGGUUCACCUUCAAAUUGACUUCUCAGGGACUAAUAGUUCUCUUACUGUGUCCGGAAUUGGUGGGUUCUUGGUCUCACUGACUUCAAGACUGAAGCCGCGAACCCUCGCGGUGAGUGUUACAGCUCUUAAGGUGGCGGGUCUGGAGUUUGUUCCUUCUGAUGUCCGGAUGUGUUCGGAGUUUCUUCUUUCUGGUGGGUUAGUGGUCUCACUGGCUCAGGAGUGAAGCUGCAGACCUUUGCUGUGAGUGUUACAGCUCUUCAGGCAGCGCGUCUGGAGUUGUUCAUUCCUCCCGGUGGGCUCGCAGAUCUUGCUGGCUUCAGGAGUGAAGCUGCAGAUCUUCGCGGUGAGUGUUACAGCUCAUACAAGCAGCGUGAACCCAAAGAGUGAGCAGUAGCAAAAUUUAUUGCAAAGAGCGAAAGAACAAAGCCUCCACAGUGUGGAAGGGGACCUGAGCAGGUUGCCCCUGCCGAAUAGGGCAGCCUGCUUUUAUUCUCUUAUCUGGCCCCACCCACAUCCUGCUGAUUGGUAGGGCCCAGUGGCCUGUUUUGACAGGGCGCUGAUUGGUGAGUUUACAAUCCCUGAGCUAGAUACAAAGGUUCUCCAUGUCCCCAUCAGAUUAGUUAGAUACAGAGUAUGGGCACAAAGGUUCUCGAAGGGCCCACCAGAGCAGCUAGAUACAGAGUGUCGAUUGGUGCACUCACAAACCCUGAGCUAGACACAGGGUGCUGAUUGGUGUGUUUACAAACCUUGAGCUAGAUACAGAGUGCCAAUUGGUGUAUUUACAAUCCCUGAGCUAGACAUAAAGGUUCUCCAAGGUCCCACCAGAGUAGCUAGAUACAGAGUGUUGAUUGGUGCACUCACAAACCCCGAGCUAGACACAGGGUGCUGACUGGUGUGUUUAAAAACCUUGAGCUAGAUACAGAGUGCCGAUUGGUGUAUUUACAAUUCCUGAGCUAGACAUAAACGUUCUCCAAGGCCCCACCAGAGUAGCUAGAUACAGAGUGUUGAUUGGUGCAUUCACAGACCCUGAGCUAGACACAGGGUGCUGAUUGGUGUAUUUACAAUCCCUGAGCUAGAUGUAAAGGUUCUCCACGUCUCCACCCGACUCAGGAGCCCAGCUGGCUUCACCCAGUGGAUCCCGCACCUGGGCUGCAGGUGGAGCUGCCUGCCAGUCCCGUGCCGUGCGCCCGCACUCCUCAGCCCUUGGGUGGUCGAUGGGACUGGGCACCGUGGAGCAGGGGGUGGCACUCAUAGAGGAGGCUGGGGCCGCACAGGAGCCCACGGAGGAGGUGGGAGGCUCAGGCAUGGCGGGCUGCAGGUCUGGAGCCCUGCCCCGGGGGAAGGCAGCUAAGGCCCGGUGAGAAAUCGAGCGCGGCGCCGGUGGGCUGGCACUGCUGGGGGAACCAGUACACCCUCCGCAGCCGCUGGCCCGGGUGCUAAGCCCCUCAUUGCCCGGGGCCGGCAGGGCCGGCUGGCUGCUCCGAGUGCGGGGCCCGCCGAGCCCACGCCCACCCGGAACUCCAGCUGGCCCGCAAGCGCCCGCGCAGCCCCGGUUCCCGCUCGCGCCUCUCCCUCCACACCUCCCUGCAAGCUGAGGGAGCCGGCUCCGGCCUUGGCCAGCCCAGAAAGGGGCUCCCACAGUGCAGCAGUGGGCAGAAGGGCUCCUCAAGUGCCCCCAAAGUGGGAGCCCAGGCAGAGGAGGCGCGGAGAAUGAGCGAGGGCUGUGAGGACUGCCAGCAUACUGUCACCUCUCAUUACUUCUCAUGGCCCCAAAGGGUGAGGGUAGGGGAGAUGGGGAAGGAAAACUCUUUGUGCCUGAAUUCCAGGCCUACCCCUUGAUUCUGAUUAAAACCAAAUUCCUUCCAGCCACCCAAAUCCAAACUCUGGGGCUUUCUGGAUUCCACUCCCUUUUUCAUCUUCCUGGGCACAGAGCCCCAGGUCUGUCACCAUGAGCUGCCUCUGCUCCAUAGCUUCCAUGUGCAAUCUCCGAACCCACCAUCGUCUGUCAAGCUUCAAGUCCCCUACCAGCUCUGUUCCCCAUACAACUUCCUACUGUAACCUACUCUAAAACCUUAUCUAAAGUUUUAGUCUUACUUUUUUUCUGACUUUUGGCUAUCACCUCUUGUAAACUCAACAUCUCUCCCAAGUACCAUUCUUAGCAUAAAUUUCCAAAACCAAUCACAUUUCAUUACUCUCUGAGGAUGGGGUAAGGCUCUAUCUCAUGAUUUUGAAGCAAAGCCAAUAUCCUGCCUUGUCAAAUUAUCAAUGGGAUUUUCACUUCUUUUCUGGGAGCCCCCCACUUAUCACCUCUGGGUGUAUGUGAAAUAAACUAUUUCUCCUGUUAACUUGUCCUUUGUAAGUAUAAUUCACAGGCUCCAAUCACUGACCCUAACUAAGAAGGUAGAGGAAAAGUUUUUUUUCCUUCUUCUAUGCAUAGCUUACAGUGUGCUGCAUACAGUACAUGCUAAAUAAUUUUUGAGGAGAUAAAAUUAUUUCAUUUAGUCAAUCUUGAUCUCAGUUAUGUCCAGACUAAGUGGAAAUCCAAAAACAUUUAGUUAAUUUUAGCAGGUGAAUGGUCAAAUUAGAUAAUACAGACACUGCAAAUGAAUUCAGUUUUGGUAUUUUGCUGCUGUAUCUGGGAUAUUACCUGAAACUACCAACCCCAAAGAAGUGGUUAGAUGCAGGAGCUUAUGUAUUAUCUUAACAAAGAGUGGUGAGGUGUGGAGAAGAGACUAGACAAAUGAAUGGUGUUGGGCCUCUGAGGUGGGGAUAAGUUGUGGAAGGUAAUUAUAAACUAUAUGGUAAAUAAGGUUUAUUUUGCAGUUUGAAGUCCUCUUAGGUAAUAAAAGGCAUCUCCAGAUGAGGGGAGAUUUACAAAUUGUCUAUAUAAAUACAAAUUUCAUUUACAAAUGUAAAUUUCCUUUACAAAAGGAAAAUUUCUGCCCUGAUUUUAGGCAAAAAGGUGAGGAAGCAGAGAAUUAUUUUUGAAUGGCUACUGCUUAAAGAGUUGCCUGCGUGAGGUUUGGUGGCAAGAAGCAGAAGUCAGAGCCUGUGGUUCCUGUUGCUCUUCGGCGGUAUGAAAGAGAGAAGAAGGCGUGCUUCAUUAUAUGAAGCUUUGCUCCUAAGGUGGAGUCUUGCUGCAUCACCAAGGCUGGAGUGCACUGGCACAAUCUCGGCUCACUGCAACCUCCUCCUCCCAGGUUCAAACAAUUCUGUCUCAGCCUCCCAAGUAGCUGGGACUACAGGUGCCUGCCACCACGCCUGGCUGAUUUUUGUAUUUUUAGUAGAGACAGGGUUUCACCUUGUUGGUCAGGCUGGUCUCAAACUCCUAACCUCAAGUGAUCCACCCGCGUCGGCCUCCCAAAGUGCUGAGAUUACAGGCGUGAGCCACCGUGCCCCACCAAUGCUACUGAUUUUUGUAUCCUGCAACUUUACCAAAUUCAUUUUUUUGGUUCUAAAUGUUUUUUGUGGAUCUUUGAGGCCUUCUACAUAAAGGAUAAUAUCUCAAAUAGGGAUAAUUUUGCUUCAUCUUUCUGAAUUUAGAUGCCUUUUUUUCUUCUCUGAUUGCCCUUGUUAGUACUUCUAAUACUACAUUGAAUAGAAGUGGUGAGAGGGGGCAUCCCUGUAUUGUACUGAUCUUAUUAGAAAAGCUUUCAUUUGUACCUGUUGAUUAUGAUCUUAGCUGUGAGCUUUUCAUAAAUGGUCCCUAUUAUUUUGAGGACCUUUCCUUCUAUAUCUAAACUGUUAAGAGUUUGUAUCAAGAAAGGAUACUGAAUUUUGUCAAAUAGUUUUUCUGCAUCAAUUGAGAGGUUCAUGUGGUUUUUCUCUUUUAGUCUUUUAAUAGAUGUGUUACAUUGAUUGACUUGCAUGCCAUGCAUAAAUCCCACUUGUACACCACAGGGAAAUCCCACUUGGUUCCGAUGUAUAACCUUCCUGAUGUGUUGUUGAAUCUGGUUUGCUAAUAUUUUAUUGAAGAUUUUAGUAUCAAAGUUCAAGACUUAUUGGCCUGUAGGUUUUUUUUACUUGAAGUAUCUUUGUCUGGCUUAGGUAUCAAGGUGACACUGGCCUCAUGAAAUAUAUUUGGAAGUAUUCCCUCUAGCUCUAUUUUUUUUUUUGGAAGAGUUUAAGAAGUAUUGGUAAUAAUUCUUUUUUAAAUGUUUUGUGAACUUCUUCUCUGAAGUCAUCUGGUUCAGUGCUUUUCAUUGCUGGAAGGUGUUUAAUUACUUUAAUAUCUUUGUUAUUGGUUUGUUCGAG